GAAGAAGGUGAUAUGUUACUUUUCUACUGGAACAAAAGAAGAUGUACGAACCGAUGCUGGCCAGUUCCCAUCCGAUGGACUUGGAGUUCCUAAUAAGGAUUGGCCAGGCGAGACGUGGGUUGACAUCAGAAAUAGUCAGGUAAGACGUAUAAUGAGAGAUCGGAUUGAACAUGCAAAAUUCAGCCAUUGUGAUGGUGUAGAUCCGGAUAAUGUAAAUGCGCGGGAAGAUAAUCAGACUGGUACUUCAUUUAACAGCAGAUGAUCAAUUGGACUAUAACAGAUAUUUGGCGAGAGUGGCACAUGGAAACGGUUUAGCUAUAGGACUGACAAAUGAUAAAAGACAACUUAGUGACCUGGUAGACGACUUUGACUUCGCCAUAACUAACAUAUCCUGUAUGGAUUCUGACCACGAAUGUUACCGGUACAAACCUUUUUUUGAUGCUAGAAAGGUAUACAGAAAAUAUAUUACAUUUAUAAUUGCCUUGUUAAGAUAGACAGCUUUACAUAUCAAACCAAUAACGGAAAAUGCACAAUAUAAUAUAACAGUUUGUAUCAUCACCGAUCUGCAUAUAAA